rnacentral:pre_miRNA from 1 species
ACGUCUCUAUGUCUGUCUGGUACGUCUCUAUGUCUGUCUGGUACGUCUCUACAGGAGACGUACCAGACAGUCUCUGUCUGUCUGGUACGUCUCUCUGUGACGUACCAGACAGAGAGACGUACCAGACAGACAGAGAGACGUACCA